rnacentral:misc_RNA from 1 species
CUAACUGUUCCGUUUUCAUUUUAUUUGCAGAAGAAAUGGGUUGACAAGUCUGAUCAUAAUUGCUUCAUGUUGUUUGCAAGAUCACUCUACAUCACUUGGGGUGGUCACGAGAACUGGGUUUGGAAUUGUUUCAAGGAAACAGGAGAUGAAAAUGUGGAAGUAGCAAAACUAAGCCAUGUGUGUUGGCUGGAUGUGAAAGGAAAAUUUAGCAUAUCAGAACUCUCACCAGGAAUUGCCUAUGAGAUUGUUUAUGAAGUGAAGUUGACAAAUGGGGCAUCAGGAUGGGAACUGCCUAUCACCCUGAAACUGUCCCUUCCUAAUGGAGAAGUCCGAGAACGCCAAGUUGUUAUUCUUGAGAAGCCAAGAAAGAAAUGGAUAGAGCUCAACGUGGGCAACUUCUUAACAAAGCAAGGAGAGACGGGAGAAGUCUGCUUUGACAUCAUCGAACAUGGAGGACACUGGAAGAAGGGACUUUUCAUUAAAGGUGCCAUUAUUAGGCCAAAAAUGAUCACUACCCAAUAAUCAAAAU